UACGUAGGGAGCAAGCGUUGUCCGGAAUCAUUGGGCGUAAAGCGCGCGUAGGCGGCCCUGUAAGUCCGUUGUGAAAGUCAAAGGCUCAACCUUUGAAAGCCGAUGGAUACUGCAGGGCUAGAGUCCGGAAGAGGCGAGUGGAAUUCCUGGUGUAGCGGUGAAAUGCGUAGAUAUUGGGAGGAACACCGGUGGCGAAGGCGGCCCCCUGGACCGGUACCGACGCUGAGGCGCGAAAGCGUGGGUAGCAAACGGC
rnacentral:rRNA from 1 species